rnacentral:snRNA from 1 species
GGAUGUUAGAGUGAUCUGGCUGUGACAUCUGUCACCCCAUUGAUCGUCAGGGUUGAUUCAGCUGAUCUGGCUGGCUAGGCUGGUGUCCCCUUCCUCCCUCACUGCUCCAUGUGCUUCCCUCCAGAAGUUUAGUUGAAGAGGAAGCUUUCACCAGAGACUGACCAGACCAGUCAUUGGUCCAGGGUAUAAGAGAAGCUGCACUCCCCUGUUAGAACAUGCAUCUAAACUCAAAAUAUCUCUACAGCUUUGUCAUUUUGCCUAUCUGAACCAUUAAACUAGCUGAAUAACAUCUCCACAUUUCCCUGU